UAACCUUCCUGCUAUAAUGAAUUAGUUGCGCCGUAUUGCACUAGAUGAUUAACUGGCCAGCUUAAAAUGAAUCGAUUUCGUGAACCCCCUGGAAUUAUUACACCUUCCUCCCGCGGGUGAUAAUACCAUUAUGCUGCUAUCCCGCUCUGCCUUUCGAAACGAAGCUGUCAGCAACAGGACAAAGCUGUUCAAAAUGAACCGAAUUGCCUAGGCGGAUCGUUCGGCAAAACAAGGUCCAAAUGGGUCUGGAUUUUAAGAUUAUGAGAAGGGUUUUUGCCGAUUGCUCGACAAAUUUGCCUUCCUGCCAACUUCUUCCCAGCACAG
rnacentral:sRNA from 1 species